AUAACAUUUAAUUAAUUAGGUACAUCAAAACAAAUAACAUAUAGAUGAUUAUCGUAACCCUCGGCAAGUUGCAUUGAAUAAAGACCGACUAGAGAUCUAUGCUACGCAGCACACAACAAAAUAUCUUUCGUAAUUCGUCCAUGCAAAUGUAAGCUUUACUUUUGAGUCCGUAAAAUACAAAAUCGCUCGCACUAAUUUUCAACUUUUCACACAUUUUAGUCCGCUUGCACACUGCACAUUUUCACCGCAACAAAUAUUUUGAUACAUGUGAUUCUUUCACUGUGCCGUACGGUCCAUAACACACUAUAACAGUCCUUGGCUUAAAAAAUGCAUUUAAAUCGUGCUGUAAUCGUUUUGCUUAAAAAUAGUUUUAAAAUAAAAAUGGAAGACUGAUACAACAUGGUUUUGGCGUCACGAAAGUUGAGGCACUCUUCAUUACUAUGAUUCUUGUAUUGCGAUGUUGUUUUGGCUUGUUAUUAAUAUAAUAUUUACCAAUCAAACUCGACGUAAUUUUGGAUUAUUCCACUAAUCCCUAUUGAGAAUACCUAGGUAGGGGACCAUCAAUGGGGAUUUGUAAAUUUUUCUUCCACAAAUCCCCAUUGGCACUCUCACGCCUCUAGGUUUAUUCCACUAAUCCCCACUGACAUUAUUCCACUAAUCCCCACUGACAAUCUCCUCAAUUUGUGACGGAGAUUGUCAGUGGGAUGGGGAUGAAGAUUUGUGAGCUUUUCUUCCACAAACCCCACUUGAUACUCUCACGCCUCUAAAGCUCCUAAUGGCGAUUUGUACACAUUCUAGAUACUAAUAGGUAUCUAUAUGUGAUUUGCCAGUUUCCGUACAAACUAUGUAUGUACCUAGUUACUUUUAAAAUAAGAUGGCCUUUAAAGAUUUGUAUGUAAAUUGUUGAGACCGUGUAACUUUGAAACUGAUUAUUUCAACGGAAAUCUGGAAAACCAUAGAUAUUAGUACCUAGAACGUAUCAACAGAUUGUGUUUGAUUGGUUAGUAUUUAAAUGAGAGCUACGUAUGUUUGGAGCUCACUAGGAAUAAACCUUUCUUAACGUUUUUCAGAUAAGUACUACUUUACCCUUAAAAGAAUAUCGGCUAAUCGGAUUGAUACAUCAGACUAAGGGUCCUUUCACAAUACCUAAUUGCGGUACGACAUUGCAUCGUAAAAUUCAACGACAGCGGCAUAACUCGUGGUAAUUCACAUGGGAAUCGUAAUUAAAGCGAAGUUGCACGAAUUACACAUUCAACACAUUUCAUUUACACAGGUCAAUACGUUGUGGAAAUAAAGGUGAAUUUGCUAUGUUAAGUUUCAAAUUGAUGUCCUUCGACUCUGCGCUAGUAUGAAUUGACCCUAAGAGGACAGUCCUCUUAGGGUCAAUUGGUGCGAUGCGACGUUGUUCCUGUGAUGCGAUGUCGCACCGAAAGUAUUGUGGAAGGGCCCUAAGGGUGUCUCAACUUAUGUGAAGGUAGAACUAGAAGGUAUGGAACUCAAAUGUUAUUAAGAUGUGAUGCUUUUGACUUUAGCGGCUCGUGUGCUGAUUUUUAUGUGUAAUAUUAAUUAAAAUCGACUUGCUUUGGCCACGUGGGAUCUGACGAAAUAUUUUCAUACAAUAAAAACGUUAUCAUAAAAUACAUUAAAAAGUUAUAAUAAGACAAACUCAAUAGAUUCCAUUUUAAUAACAAUAUAAUACAAUAUGUAGGCAAUAAUAAUAAUAUUCGUUGUUUUGUCACCUUUUUAAAACUACAAAUUAUCUAAAUCAAUUCACACUAUGUAACAUGUUAUAUAACAGUUCAUUGUUAUAUAGCUUUUUGUUUACAAUAAUAAAUUCGUUACAUUUUACUGUUAUAUUUCAGCGUUAUAGUACAAUUUUAAUUUAAUAUAAUAUCAAUACAAAACAUAAGAUGUCACAUAGGCGUGGACUCACCUAGUUAUAGGUACGAAUUUUACAAAUAUUUUCGAAAAAAUAUUGAGAAACAGUAAUAUAAUAUGUAUUUAGCCUCAAAAAUAAAAUGUGCAUUUCUAAUAUACCUACUAUAAAACAUUUUUGAGCUAGAACUUUAUUUUUAAGAAGAGAAUUGACGUGUGGAUUUAAAAAUUUAAAUAUUUGAAAAUUACAAAUAUAACUUUUAUUUGUAUAACUAUAUAAUUUGUCUCAUUAUACAUAAAAUAUAGACCCGAUUGAAGAGAUUCAACGGUUAAAGAUUAAAAUUUCAUAUUUUUACUGACAACUUUUCUAACUUCGUAGUAAAAAUUUGUAGAAAUACAAUUUUAUAAUAAUAUAUAAAUAUUGUAUACAAAUUUAAGAAAAUUUUGUAUAUAAUAUAGUACCUUAGUAGUCUAUAAACUGUUGUAAAUUAGGUAUUUUACAUACGUAAAUUGUAAUCUAGUAGGUACUUUUAGAUAUAACUAUUGUAUACUUGUAUAAUAUUUGUGUAUUUUAGUUCUAUAAAUGGUAUAUUGUUCGAGUGGUCCCUAUGUCAGUGUAUAUAAGUAUAAAAUAAUACGGGUAAUUCCCCGAAGAAACUAUUCAGAUUUGAUUGUUUAGCCGUCAAAAGUUGCGAAACUAAAUUGAUAUUCGACUUUAUGCGACCCUUUUCACAACGUUUUAUGUAUAAAAAGAUGGCUAAAAUUUUGGCCCAAUAUAUUUAGUUUAAUUUUUGUUACAGACAGUGGUAGUUAUCUAAUUUAUUUUUACCGCUAAAAUCUUUUAAAGUAUUUCGGCAAUACCAUUGAAAGUGUCGUUCUUUUGUUUUGAAACUGGAACAUAUUUUAUAAAUAUG